GAGGAUGUAGCUCAGUUGGUAGAGCACCGGAUUGUGGCUCCGGCGGUCGAGGGUUCAAGCCCCUUCAUUCUCCCCA
rnacentral:tRNA from 1 species